GGAGAGGUGGCCGAGUGGUUGAAGGCGCGCCCCUGCUAAGGGUGUAUAUGUUAACGCGUAUCGAGGGUUCGAAUCCCUUCCUCUCCGCCA
rnacentral:tRNA from 2 species